rnacentral:tRNA from 1 species
GGGAAUGUGGCUUAGUGGUAGAGCACUUGCCUGGCAUGCAUGAGGCCCUGGGUUCGAUUCCUCAGCACCA